AACAUGACGAGAAAAACGAGAAAGGCCUUCGGGUUGAGUACAGUGGCGAAUUUGUCAGUAACGCGUGGGAAUCUACCCUUUUGUGAAGAAUACCCUCGAGAAAUCGAGGUUAAUACUGCAUAAGCUCCUGCGGGAGGAAAGAUGGCUUAAUUGCUGUCGCUGAAGGAUGAGCCUGCGUACUAUUAGCUAGUUGGUAGGGUAAUGGCCUACCAAGGCGAGGAUGGUUAGCCGGCCUGAGAGGGUGAUCGGCCACAUUGGAACUGAGACACGGUCCAGACUCCUACGGGAGGCAGCAGUGGG
rnacentral:sRNA from 1 species